UAACUUUCUUCAACGGAUCUCUUGGUGCUGGCGUCGAUGAUGAACACAGCAAAAUGCUAUAAUUAAUGUGAAUUGCUGAAUUCUUUGAAUCAUCAAAUCUUUGAACACACCUUGCGCCCGCCGCUAUUCUGGCGGGCGUGCCUGUUCUAGCAUCAUUU
rnacentral:rRNA from 1 species